rnacentral:rRNA from 1 species
CCAGGGGUAACUCUGGACAUUUACACAGGUGCUGCAUGGCUGUCGUCAGCUCGUGUCGUGAGAUGUUGGGUUAAGUCCUAUAACGAGCGCAACCCCCUGCUAUCAGUUGCUACCUUUAAGUAGAGCACUCUGAUGGGACUGCCUGGGAAACCAGGAGGAAGGUGGGGAUGAUGUCAAGUCCGCAUGGUCCUUAUGCCUAGGGCUACACACGUGUUACAAUGGCGAAUACAAAGGGCUGCGAAUCUGUAAAGAGGAGCCAAUCCCAUAAAGUUCGUCUAAGUUCAGAUUGAGGUCUGCAACUCGACCUCAUGAAGUUGAAAUCGCUUGUNUUCGCAUAUCAGAUCGNUNNAANGAACACGUUCUCNGANCUUNUACACNCCGCCCUUNGNCCCACUAGAGCUGUUUGUGCCCGANAUCAUNCNNCAUGNCGNCCGCGGGAAUUCGAUUAGAGUUUGAUCCUGGCUCAGGAAGUAAAAGUCGUAACAAGGUAACC